rnacentral:rRNA from 1 species
CCUACGGGAGGCAGCAGUGAGGAAUAUUGGUCAAUGGACGCAAGCCUGAACCAGCCAUGCCGCGUGCAGGAAGACGGCUCUAUGAGUUGUAAACUGCUUUUGUACGGGGGUAAACGCAUAUACGCGUAUCUGUCUGAAAGUAUCGUACGAAUAAGGAUCGGCUAACUCCGUGCCAGCAGCCGCGGUAAUACGGAGGAUUCAAGCGUUAUCCGGAUUUAUUGGGUUUAAAGGGUGCGUAGGCGGUCGGAUAAGUUAGAGGUGAAAUCCCGGGGCUCAACUUCGGAAUUGCCGUUGAUACUGUUCGGCUAGAGAGUAGUUGCGGUAGGCGGAAUGUGUGGGGUAGCGGUGAAAUGCUUAGAGAUCAUACAGAACACCGAUUGCGAAGGCAGCUUACCAAGCUACAUCUGACGUUGAGGCACGAAAGCGUGGGGAGCAAACAGGAUUAGAUACCCUAGUAGUC